rnacentral:rRNA from 1 species
GAUGAACGCUGGCGGCGUGCCUAAUACAUGCAAGUCGAGCGAACGGACGAGAAGCUUGCUUUUCUGAUGUUAGCGGCGGACGGGUGAGUAACACGUGGAUAACCUACCUAUAAGACCGGGAUAACUUCGGGAAACCGGAGCUAAUACCGGAUAAUAUUUUGAACCGCAUGGUUCAAAAGUGAAAGACGGUCUUGCUGUCACUUAUAGAUGGAUCCGCGCUGCAUUAGCUAGUUGGUAAGGUAACGGCUUACCAAGGCAACGAUGCAUAGCCGACCUGAGAGGGUGAUCGGCCACACUGGAACUGAGACACGGUCCAGACUCCUACGGGAGGCAGCAGUAGGGAAUCUUCCGCAACGGGCGAAAGCCUGACGGAGCAACGCCGCGUGAGUGAUGAAGGUCUUCGGAUCGUAAAACUCUGUUAUUAGGGAAGAACAUAUGUGUAAGUAACUGUGCACAUCUUGACGGUACCUAAUCAGAAAGCCACGGCUAACUACGUG